rnacentral:misc_RNA from 1 species
GAUGAAGAACGUAUCGAAAUGCGAUAAGUAGUGUGAAUUGCAGAAUUUAGUGAAUCAUCGAAUCUUUGAACGCACAUUGCGCCCUUUGGUAUUCCUUAGGGCAUGCCUGUUCGAGCGUCAUCUACACCCUCAAGCACAGCUUGGUGAUGGGCGCCUGUCCCGCCCCCCACGGGGGCGCGGACUCGCCUCAAAUGCAUUGGCGGCCGGCGACCUGGCUUCGAGCGCAGCAGAAACGCGUACUCGGGGACCGGGCGCCCGCUCCCAGAAGCCAACCCACCCAGUUUGACCUCGGAUCAGGUAGGGAUACCCGCUGAACUUAAGCAUAUCAAUAAGCGGAGGA